rnacentral:lncRNA from 1 species
CAAACAUCAAUUAUAGCUGCAGAUCCACCACUUUUGGUAUUGGGUAAGUAAGUUCAGUAUGAAUGGCCAGAUUUGUACGGAGAAGAUAAGUUUAUCGUUAUUUUUGGUGGUACAAUAGAAUGGCUUGUUUUAAAAUUCAUGGGCAUAUAUUGCCUUAAAGUGGAUGGACUUGUGCUCACAUUGAAGCCGACAUUGCAACACCUAGAACGUCAUAUUAUUUUCAUAUAUAUUCAAAUAAACCUAGGUCUAGACAUGCGAAUCAGAUAACUGCGUGUGUUUUGCUUGAAACAUCAAUAUCUAAACGCAGAAAAUAUA